GCUCAGCCGGGGGGCGGCGGCGGCGGCGGCUCCGGGGAUGGCGGCGGCUCCACUGCUGCUGCUGCUGCUGCUUGUGCCCGUGCCGCUGCUGCCGCUGCUGGCCCAAGGGCCCGGGGGGGCGCUGGGAAACCGGCAUGCGGUGUACUGGAACAGCUCCAACCAGCACCUGCGGCGAGAGGGCUACACAGUGCAGGUGAAUGUGAACGAUUAUCUGGAUAUUUACUGCCCGCACUACAACAGCUCAGGGGUGGGCCCGGGGGCGGGGCCAGGGCCCGGAGGCGGGGCGGAGCAGUACGUGCUGUAUAUGGUGAGCCGGGCAGGCUACCGCACCUGCAACGCCAGCCAAGGCUUCAAGCGCUGGGAGUGCAACCGACCGCACGCUCCCCACAGCCCCAUCAAGUUCUCGGAGAAGUUCCAGCGCUACAGCGCCUUCUCUCUGGGCUACGAGUUCCACGCGGGCCACGAGUACUACUACAUCUCCACGCCCACCCACAAUCUGCACUGGAAGUGUCUGAGGAUGAAGGUGUUCGUCUGCUGCGCCUCCACAUCGCACUCCGGGGAGAAGCCGGUCCCCACUCUCCCCCAGUUCACCAUGGGCCCCAAUGUGAAGAUCAACGUGCUGGGCUGAGAGUUUGUGGGUGCUGUAGCCGCACAUAACAACAGCACCCUACAUCCAUCAGGAGAGUGAGGGGACAGAAGGAAGAAGACGGGACAGUGGCUGAAGCCGUCAAAGGUCACAGCCCCACCUAAGCCCAGUGAGGGUGAAAAACUGCAGCCACAACAAACAACUCAGAACAGAUUUUGGCUGGUGGAGUGACGUUCAGAGCCAGCCGCGUCCUCCCCUUCUGGACACGAGGCACCACAUCUUCCCCGGGGGCAGCCAGGAAGCAAAGGAAAAAAAGCGUGAAUACCCACCUUCAUGAGAGAGCCCAGCCCCGGCAUCUGUUCCAGUUCUGUUCCAAGACAGCCUCACUACUGAACACCAAGGAGCCUUCAUCUUUUGCUUUUUGUAAUUUUUUUUUUUUUGAGAGCUGAAUACAACAGCUAGACUUAUAGAUUGCCACUCCCUUUAACAUUUCUAUUUAAUCAGGCUACAUUUGGGGUGCCUUUCCAUUAUUCACACUAAUCAAGUGUUUUUUCCAUACCCAGUUUUGAGCUCCCCGUUAUCCAUCUCAGAAACCACUACAGGGAAUGGUGCCCAGUUGCCAGAGUGUCACCAUCCCUCAUCACUCAGAUGCCAGGAAAUUUCAUAAUAAAGACAAACUUACCACAGGCCAUCUUGCCCUCCCACAAAAGCUGUCCCCAAACAAAGGGUUUCCUAACAAGAUAAACAUUAUGUAUCAGAACUACAAUAACAUAAUACCACAUUUUCUUCAAAUUAGAUUUUGAAUUCCACCAAUUCCAAAUCAGCGCACUCAACACUCUAAAUGAGGCAAACUUCAAAGAGUAGGAAAUAAAAAUAUCUUAAAGUGUGAUGGCUUUUACCAAAUUAGGUCUGUGCCAAUGCAGAGCCUUUAUUUUCUGCAAAGUAACCCUCUUUAAAAAAACAAAAACAGAAACACAGUUUAAUUCAGCAAACAUUGACUGAGAGCCCACUCUGGGCACAGAGCUGCAGGGAAGACGUUGAGAGCCAAGUCGGUUCUGGUCCUCAAAGGAUGUGUGACGGGAGCGGACACUUAUUCAGCUAAAUUUCAGAAAGGAAGGAACAAAGUAAACAUUGUAAAAGACAAAAUGUCAUGGGGGCCCAGAAGAGGGAGUGAUUAAUUCGCACUGUGGGGAGGUGGUACUGAGCCAGCUGGGAAGGAUGACUAGGGUUUUGACAGCUGGUGAAGGCAUCCAGGCAGAGGGAACAGCUCAAGCAAAGGUAGAAGGCCGUGAUGUGCGGGAGUACUAAUCAUCAUCAUCUAAUUGAUCAAAAUGUGUAUUGCGACAUUCUAAUUAUUAUAUGUUGCCAAAUAUUA